AAUAUACUACCUCUGUCCUGGAUUACUUGUCAUCAGCCUAGUACUGAAUACAAGCAUCAGCUGCCCAUUAGCUGCGACAAGUAAUUGGAGACGGAGGGAGUACAUU
rnacentral:miRNA from 1 species